UGCUUUUCUCGCGGCACGGGUGGUGGGGCUGCUUCUUGACUUCCGCGCCUAGUGCGCGGGGCCCCAUUCUCCAGUCCCGCCCACGCGCCUUUGGAGGCUGCGGUGGGAUUUCCUUUUGCCUUCGGUUGGGGCUGCUGUUUCUCUUCGCCGACGUGGAUCCUCUAUCCUUCAGAGACUCUGGAACCCCUGUGCUCUUCUCCUCAUCUAGUGACCCUGAGGUGAUGGAGUUUUCAAGUCCUUCCAGAGAGGAAUGUCCCAAGCCUUCGGGUAGGGUAAGCAUCAUGGCUGGCAGCCUCACAGGAUUGCUUCUACUUCAGGCAGUGUCGUGGGCAUCAGAUGAGUGCCUUCAGCCGCUACAAGAGCAGAAGCAGUGGGCAUUGGAUGGAGCUGAGUACAGGACCAUACAGGCUAAUUGCACCGGCACAGUGAAAUAAGAUUUCGCCGCCUAUCAUCUGCUAACUGCUACGGACUCAGGCUCAGAAAGGCCUGCGCUUCACCCAGGAAUCGGAUAUAACAUCAUCUGGGUACCCAUGGCCAGCUGUGACUUCUCCAUCCGCACCUACACCUAUGCAGACACCCCUGAUGAUUUCCAGUUGCACAACUUCAGCCUCCCAGAGGAAGAUACCAAGCUCAAGAUACCCCUGAUUCACCGAGCCCUGCAGUUGGCCCAGCGUCCCGUUUCACUCCUUGCCAGCCCCUGGACAUCACCCACUCGGCUCAAGACCAGGGGAGCGGGGAAUGGGAAGGGGCCACUCAAGGGACAGCCCAGAGACAUCUACCACCAGACCUGGGCCAGAUACAUUGUGAAGUUCCUGGAUGCCUAUGCUGAGCACAAGUUAUACAGUUCUGGGCAGUGACAGCUGAAAAUGAGCCUUCUGCUGGGCUGUUGAGUGGAUACCCCUUCCAGUGCCUGGGCUUCACCCCUGAACAUCAGCGAGACUUCAUUGCCCGUGACCUAGGUCCUACCCUUGCCAACGGUACUCACCACAAUGUCCGCCUACUCAUGCUGGAUGACCAACGCUUGCUGCUGCCCCACUGGGCAAAGGUGGUACUGACAGACCCAGAAGCAGCUAAAGGCCUGUGUGGGUUCCAAGUUCUGGGAGCAGAGUGUGCGGCUAGGCUCCUGGGAUCGAGGGAUGCAGUACAGCCACAGCAUCAUCACAAACCUCCUGUACCAUGUGGUCGGCUGGACCGACUGGAACCCAUCAUUGUAGACAUCACCAAGCACACGUUUUACAAACAGCCCAUGUUCUACCACCUUGGCCACUUCAGCAAGUUCAUUCCUGAGGGCUCCCAGAGAGUGGGGCUGGUUGCCAGUCAGAAGAACGACCUGGACGCAGUGGCACUGAUGCAUCCCGAUGGCUCUGCUGUUGUGGUCGUGCUAAACCGCUCCUCUAAGGAUGUGCCUCUUACCAUCAAGGAUCCUGCUGUGGGCUUCCUGGAGACAAUCUCACCUGGCUACUCCAUUCACACCUACCUGUGGUGUCGCCAGUGAUGGAGCAGAUACUCAAGGAGGCACUGGGCUCAGCCUGGGCAUUAAAGGGACAGAGUCAGCUCACACGCUGUCUGUGACUAAAGAGGGCACAGCAGGGCCAGUGUGAGCUUACAGCGACGUAAGCCCAGGGGCAAUGGUUUGGGUGACUCACUUUCCCCUCUAGGUGGUGCCAGGGGCUGGAGGCCCCUAGAAAAAGAUCAGUAAGCCCCAGUGUCCCCCCAGCCCCCAUGCUUAUGUGAACAUGCGCUGUGUGCUGCUUGCUUUGGAAACUGGGCCUGGGUCCAGGCCUAGGGUGAGCUCACUGUCCGUACAAACACAAGAUCAGGGCUGAGGGUAAGGAAAAGAAGAGACUAGGAAAGCUGGGCCCAAAACUGGAGACUGUUUGUCUUUCCUGGAGAUGCAGAACUGGGCCCGUGGAGCAGCAGUGUCAGCAUCAGGGCGGAAGCCUUAAAGCAGCAGCGGGUGUGCCCAGGCACCCAGAUGAUUCCUAUGGCACCAGCCAGGAAAAAUGGCAGCUCUUAAAGGAGAAAAUGUUUGAGCCCA